rnacentral:rRNA from 1 species
ACGGAAGGCAGCAGUGGGGAAUAUUGCACAAUGGGCGAGAGCCUGAUGCAGCGACGCCGCGUGAGCGAAGAAGUAUUUCGGUAUGUAAAGCUCUAUCAGCAGGGAAGAUAAUGACGGUACCUGACUAAGAAGCACCGGCUAAAUACGUGCCAGCAGCCGCGGUAAUACGUAUGGUGCAAGCGUUAUCCGGAUUUACUGGGUGUAAGGGGAGCGCAGGCGGUACGGCAAGUCUGAUGUGAAAGCCCGGGGCUCAACCCCGGUACUGCAUUGGAAACUGUCGAACUAGAGUGUCGGAGGGGUAAGUGGAAUUCCUAGUGUAGCGGUGAAAUGCGUAGAUAUUAGGAGGAACACCAGUGGCGAAGGCGGCUUACUGGACGACAACUGACGCUGAGGCUCGAAAGCGUGGGGAGCAAACAGGAUUAGAUACCCUGGUA